UCACAACAUUUAACACUCACACAUAGUCAAUGAGGUCGCAAUUAAAUGUUGAAAUUACUAAAUUAAAAAACAAUUUCAUAAAUGAGUUUUAUGUCACACUGAGAAAUCCUAAAUAACAGACACACUGCAGCCAUUGUUACAUCAUUUUCUGUUGUGUUUAUAAUAAAUAUUUCU